CAUUGACCCGGACACCAAUUCAGGUGUACUUGGCCACUCUUUUAGGAACAGAUUGCUUGGGACUUUAAGAAGUCCACAUGGCAGCUUUCCAAUUGUAUUUAUCCACUUCAACUAAUUGAGUCACAUAAAUGCUCUGCAGAAUCAUAAAUUCUAUAUGUCUAUAUGUGUGUGAAGAAGGGAAGACCUAUUACUUCUGCAAGAUAACAGGAAAACUCCGAGUUUACCAAGAGAGCACAGGAAGUCUGUAUCAGAACCAGGAAAAAAAUCUACAAUCUAAGCUCCAGGCAACAGCAGAGUGACCCAUACUUCAUAUUUUCCAGAGUAUGACAUCCUUUCUGGUUUUUUACUGCACUGAUACGGUUUUUCAUGCAAGUGGCAGCACAGCUGUCUUAUUUUGUGAGCUGAUGGGGAUUCUGACUUCUCAGUUGGAUCAUCCUGCUCUACAGCUCUUGCAAUGAGGCUGGCUAUAGGAUACCUCUUUUAUAGCAGAUUAAAGUGUGACUGUAGCAUGUGUUAACUAAAUGUGACUAACACAAUUGCACCAUCAGCAAAAAACAGGAGAGUAAUUUAUGGUAUGCCAGCAGUCUGAAUGUUGGUGUAUAUCAUAAUGAUCCUUAGACAGUUGUAUUCCAACUUUGAGCAUGUCAAACACUACCUUGACUUUUCUGUUGUUUUCUGCAUGAAGCAGAUCAGCUACAAGGUUAUAUAGUAUUUCUGACAAUCAUAUUUUCUAUUCUCACUGUCAACAGGCUUUCUGAACUGUAAGUAACCCAUAUUUACAUUGUAGAAAAUCAUAGAGUCAUUUAGUUCAGGAAUGAUCUGCUAUCACCCCUCUUCAGCAAUGAAGUUCUUGGGAUAUAGGAUCCAGUUGUUUCCUUAUAAAAUAAUUUUCAUGGUAAAUGAAACUGGUGAAAGAAAAGUUUGUUGAUGCUAAAGCAGGACCUCAUUUACCCUCAGACUUUUUUCCAGGACUUCUUCAGUGUGAAAGUAUCUUCAAGUAUUUGUAAAUACAAUUUAUUGAUAACAUCCCUGGAGGGUUUCCAUCAGAGAGAUCUUCAAGACUGAGAGCAGUAUAUUUUCAGUUCAAAAUCUAUAUGCAACUUUAGCAGUGAAGCUUAAAUUCAAGCUGAAUAAGAUUGACUCUGUCAGCUUCUGGAUUACUUCAUUGCUUAAUACAUUGCUUUAAUUGAGAAUAUUCUCUGACUGGAAAUUUAAAAGAAAAGAAAAAAAAAGGGAGAAAAAGGAAAGGUAGCAGUAACAUGCAGCUUUGUUGAAGGGAAUGUUAAAAACAAAAAUCUU
rnacentral:lncRNA from 1 species